rnacentral:lncRNA from 1 species
GGGCAGUCACCUCAGAUUUGGCUUGCUGCCAAGAAGAAUGAAUAAUGAAGCCAUCGCUCUGUAGGGUUGUAAGGCUAAGCACUGCACAGAGGUUAGUCUGGAAGCUGACAAUCUCUGGGAGGUAUGUCUGAUUGCAUAAGGGUUGAGUGUCCUAGUGUCCUUCCCCCAAAAAAAUGGCUCGGAAGCAGGUCAGGAUUGCUCUGGGUAAAAACCUGUGAGCCUAAGAGUUAAUCCUGUAGAUGGCCCCUAUUUCUGCACACUGGGGAUCAGACCUCUAUCUUCACCCACUGAGCUUGCUUCAAAAGAAUAUAAAAGGGGGAAUUGUGGGAAGCCAUUCAGGACUCCCUGGCCAGCCCGGACAGAAAUCUGUGCCAGGCAGUAAACAAGCCCAUAUUUGGUGGAUGGCUCACCCUUAAUCCCUGAUUGGCUGAGCAAGCCUGCCUGGUGAGGUGAUAUGACCUGUGGUGAUUGGUUGAGGCAUGGUUGUGGCUUGAAUGCAACAAACAAACAAACAAACAAACAAAACAAAAAACGCUUGUACCCCGGGGCUCAGGGGAUUUGAAGAGAGAAGCUGCCUGAGAAAACUGCUUUAAGAAGAACUGGUGGUUGCGUUUUCCUUGCUGGUCGAGUUGGAUGCAACAAAAAAUCAUGUCAAAAAUGUAUAAAUUUAGAUAAAUUAAAAACAGUCACAAGAUGAAGUAUUCUCUUGAUGGUUAUAGAUUUCACUAAUGCAAAUGAUCCAACAAAUGAACCAAUAGCUUUUAAAAAAGAUAAUUAAGGAGGAAAAUGCCAAGCAAAAAAAUAUUUGCACAUAGCAGGAGACUUUCAGAAAUGUUUAAAAACAUGCAAAAAGUUAAAUCUGUAUGUCACCAUCAUAUUUCCUAAGAAUUGUUAAAAUUUCCCCAGAAACCUCUUCCCUAGCAUUUAAUCCUGCUAUAAAAUCAAGAUGAGUAAAAUCAGAAAUAUUCUUAUGGUAUGUGAGGUUGGAGAUUUUGGGUACCAAGUUUGCAACAUCUUCUGGGUUAGACAAAAAAUCUUUUAAACAGUAAACAUGGCAGUUGGAACCUUCAUGUCUUCCACAUUGUAUACAGAAGGAGUAGUCUGACCGAAAAUGACAAAGACCAAUGUGUUAAUAAAAAAACUUAAGAAAUUCAACGAAACAUUCACAAAAAUAACAAACUUUUUAUGGCUCAUUCUCAUCUGUGACAGGAUGAGAAUGACACACUUCUUAUAUCCAUAGUAAUCACUGACCUCAGCCUUUCUCAGGUAAAAAGUAAUCUUAUUUUUAUAUAUUUACUUACUUUAGUUUUGUCACAGCUACUGUCUAUGUAUUCUAUGCUGCUUUCUUGCCAGAAUCCUCCCCUCUCAGUAUCCUGAAUCCUGAGGUCACUGCUAUGUCCCACCCCCUAUUAUAUUGAUCUGUCAUCCAAGCUUGAUAUCAUACAAGUCCCAAGUUCUCUGAAUCUAGAUCUCUACAUGUGAAAUGACUCUAUCAAUGUGUCUGAUAAAUCCCACAUAAUUUUGUGAGAUUCACAUGAUGUAUUAGGCAGAAUAUUGUAACAGUAUCACCAUACACAAAAUAAUGAUAUAUAUUUUGAUUCCUCUCAAAGUUCUGUGUAGUCCCUCUUCCUAAAAGAAAUGAAAUAUUCCAAGACUUAUUUAAAAUCAAGGUUUAGAUUUCUUAUACCUUUUAAAGGGCCAGAUCAUUAAAUCUGGAAGAAGAGACUUACCUGAUUGUAGUGCUGCAUAUUCAGAGAUGGACUUCCCCAAUCAUAAGCCUGAAAUACACCACUUCUAACUGCCUAAAAUACAGAGAAAACAUACCAUUAAUCACAAAGGCUUGUAUUAUGAUAGAUUCAACAUUUAUUGAGUUCUGUUGCCUCUUUUUACAGUAAUGACACAUUGGCCCAGAUAAAUCCAGUACAUUUUCUAUCUUAAUGAUAGAAAUGUACUGACUAAUCAGUGCUACCAAAUUUAAGUUCUAGAGAUUUACACAUUUUAUGAAUAAGUAUAAAAAGGACCUUUAAAAUAUUUUUACUUUUAUGACACCUCAAACAAAAUAUACUUUACAAUCAUUUAAAUAACACUUAAACUGUAUCAAUUAGUAUGUAUUCGACAGCAAGAAAAGUCAAUUAAGAAGUUGAGAAAAUUCAUGAAUCAUAAUUCAUUCAUGAAUGAUAAAAGUUUAGUUAUUUAUGCAAAGUGAUGUAUCAUUUUAUAGUAUAUUUAGUUUUGGUAGUAUGUAGUAAAUCUCAUCUUAUAAUUUUUAAAUUAUCUAAUGUGUGUUUUAAUAUAAGAAUCUAAAUUAAUGCUUAUAAAAAGAAUAAAAUGUAUAAUCUCACAUUAGUACUUGUAAAAGUUACUUUACUACUCUCUAAUUCAAAUGAAUUCAAACUAUAUUUCAGAGUAAUUUAGUUGCUCUUUGGAUUAAUAUUUUAUGUAAUAAAAUUUGUACCCUUCAUAUAUAAUUUCAUUUACAUAAUUGUUCUUGAAUUUUACACAAUAUAAGACUUUUCAGAAAAUGUUAAGUUAGUGUUAUGUUGAAUAUUAUUUGUAUCUAAAAAUAGAAAAAUUUAAGCGAUUAUAAUGAUCAGGAGUAAAUAACAGAAACCAAUGUUAAGGGAGUUACAGAAUCCAGAAUAGAAUUUUAUCAACAAACUAACUUAAAGCAACAUAUCUUAGGAUGUAAAAUAUUCUGAUUUAUUGAUAAUGGGAUAAUAGAAUAGAAAUUUUCAUACCAUUAAGACAGAUAACAUGUAAUGUUUAGAAUUAUGUGGUAGAUCUUUGAACAGAAUUAAAAAACAAAACAAAACAAAAAACCAAAAAAACCUUCUAAGAUGACUUGUUCCCUUUUUAGGUACCCAUUUACCUCUUGUCAAAUGACAUGAGUAUAAUCACCUGGUUUUAUCCACAAUGUUUUGGCUGACACAUAGGAGAAUAUGUAGGUAUACAAGUCAUCACAAUUUACUCAUAGACCUCAAGGCCACUUAAAUUUUCACCUUUAAUCAGUUCCCGGAAAUUAUUUACUAAAGCUGAUGCUACUCAGAUGUAUAAUAUAUGUAUAUAGAUUUGCUGGUUGGAAUAGAAAGCCAUUCUCUUUUAGGAUAAAAUGACCAUUCUGAUUUUUGCACAUUUUAUUAUUAUUAUUAUUAUUAUUAUUAUUAUUAUUAUUAUUAUUUACAAAGGUUAUAUGUUUCAGUAAGUCCCUGUAAUCUAUCAUUUUGGAUGGGAAUACCCUGAUCUCAAAGCCAACUGAAGAAAGAUUUUCUAAAACUCACAAAGGAGGAGAUUCUCAAAAUCAGCAGGAAGGAAAGAGACUUAUUUUUACCUGCCCAUAAUGUCUAACAAUUUGAGUUGAUGAUUCUGCUACACAGUGUGUUAUGUACACAUCAACACGGCUCUAGGAGAAAAUAAGAUACAAUGUAUGUUUGUCAGUAUUUAAUUUCCUUCCACAGAAACAAUUUCUUUCAAAAGAGUGAGGAUGCAUUGCUUCCUUAUGAAAAGAGCAGUGGUUUCUGCAAAGGUCCCACAUUCAAUUCUGAGCACUCAUACGAAGGCUCACAGUCACCGAUGGCUCCAGUUCACAGGCAUUCUAUGACCCCUAUGUGCAUCAGAAUGUGAACAAACAUACAUACAAGUAAAACACACACAGAAAGUAAAAGAUAAAAGCUAUGUAUGCCAUGUCAGUCUCUAAUGAAAGUCUUGAUUUUGACUGCAGGAAUAAAUCUAAAUAUUAUUGUUACAAUAAGAAAGGUUUUCAUUUUUAAUUUUUUGAAACAAAAAUACAAUUACAUCAUUUUCACUUUCUCUGCCCUCCAAUGCUACCACUUACACUCCUUACUCUCUAAAAUUUGUGAACUAUAAAGUAUUUUUUAAAAAAUUUUUGUCACAUAUUCCUAAUAUAUAAAUAUAACCUUCACAAGCCAUAUAAUAUUACUUGCAUGUUUAUGAUUUCAGGGCUCACCACUGAGUUUUGUUAAGUAGGAAUAAUACUCACACCAAAAGUUUGGUGUGAGCUUCUCACAAGACUUGACUCUAAUUUUUUUAACAAUACAUAUAUAUUUUAUAUGUUUUGAUGAUAAGUUGUUCAAAGGAUGUGAAUUGCUAUGAUGGUAGAAGAUUUAGGAAAAAUUUAGAUAUUAACAAAAUCUAAUAUUUACUUCUCGUGUAUUAAACAAUUUCUUUCUGUUAAUGACUCGUAUUCUGUGUGGUAGUUUCCGUGGAGCCACCCUUACUUCUGGAGCACAAGUGCUGACCUGGGUCAUCAGGUACUCGAUGAAUGACAGCAGAUGCAUUCACUGAACAUUCUAGAAGGAAAGAUGAGCUCAUCCAUCCUGAUCUCCAGCUCUUCACUCAUAACUGGUGGACAGCAGACCUGUGCUCUCAUGGAUAGAACUUCAGCAUUGUCCUUUUUUUGCAUACCGAUUAGGGUUCCUUGAGAAUGGCCAUAUCGGCUGAGGAGGAAGUUUAUUGGAAAGCAAUUGAGGAGUGAGUCUGAUCCACAGGACCCACCUUUUAAAAAAAAAAACCAGGUAUGAUGUUGACUACCUGAAAUCCCAGCAAUGCAGGAGAAGAAAUAAAUAAUUUGGCUGAGC